AAUCAAAGAACACAUUGAGGUGGUCUUGCUCGCGGAUGUAGGUCGCCUCACUGUUGACCGAACUACGUAAAUUAUGUGUUCUUGUGUUCUUGUUUCAAGUUUUAGCAGGAGCUACUAGAGCAGAUGCCAUUGGCCUCUUGUUCACUUUAUUGUUUUGUUAUCCUUGUGCUUGUUUUUCUACUAUCGUUCUUAUCUAUUUUCAUUUACGAAAGAUCCUAUUUCCAUUGUACUCUUAUGCUAUGUGGGUUGGAGGUGUGCUCGGUAACCCCUCGAAGGGGUCUUUUAAUUGGUAUUGAAGCAUUUGGUUCUUCGUAGUUCAUUGACAGUGAAACGAUAGCAGAAAAAAUUAUAGUGACGAAAUAUGAAAUUUCUUUGUUUGAUGGUACAAAUUUCGCAUUGUGCAAACUGAAGUUACAAGCAGUCUUGAUCAAGGAUGCUUGUGAGAUCUCCUAGCAAGGAAAGGAGAAUAAGCUGGAAGGGUUGACGAAUAAGCAAUUUGAAGAGAAAGACAAGAUGGGUUUAG
rnacentral:lncRNA from 1 species